AGAAUGGAUAUUCCACGCCAGAUAUCAUUCCUAUCUUUGCCCAGUCUUGUGAUCGAGCGAGUCAUGCAGUUUCUGGUUGAUCAGCCAAAGCUCGUACACUUGAAAAGUUGCGUUAACUUUAUUUCUCCAGGUGUCAUUGAUGUCAUGAGUCUACGCGCAACUUGCCAACAUCUGAACCGAAUAGCUAAGGAGUCGAGGCUGCUGUUUUUCUUCGAUCUUGAACGAUAUGCAUUGAGAGGAGCGAGUGGAUGGGACGAUCUCAUGCCUCUUUUGGAUUCCGAAUUCAACUGGAGAUGCGAGUCUUUGGAACUAGAAGUGUCAGGAAUUGAGAACAGCUGGAGUCUCAAUACGAUCCAAUUCAUCGAACAAAUUCCGUCGAAGUAUUCUAAUUUAUUCAGAAUUUCAUUGCAGUUAGUGUGCCUUAAAGUCAGCGGUGAAAACGGAUGGCCUGCAUUUUGCGAUGUACUAGUAAAAUUGACCUCACUUUUGAGUUCGAAAACAGAAAUAAAGCUGGAGGUUGGCCUAUUCAAUUUUCACCCGGCCGCAAAUUUGCCACUGGAGUAUGCGAAUCUGAUUAGAAAAAUGCAGAUUGACGAUUUAAGCGAG